rnacentral:rRNA from 1 species
GAUGAACGCUAGCUACAGGCUUAACACAUGCAAGUCGAGGGGUAACGAGAGGAAAGCUUGCUUUCCUUGUCGACGACCGGCGCACGGGUGAGUGACGCGUAUCCAACCUGCCCCCAACUAGGGAAUAACCUUGCGAAAGUAAGACUAAUACCCUAUAAUUUCCUCAGAUGUCAUCUGACGAGGAAUAAAGAUUUAUCGGUUGUGGAUGGGGAUGCGUCUGAUUAGCUUGUUGGCGGGGUAACGGCCAACCAAGGCAACGAUCAGUAGGGGUUCUGAGAGGAAGGUCCCCCACAUUGGAACUGAGACACGGUCCAAACUCCUACGGGAGCCAGCAGUGAGGAAUAUUGGUCAAUGGGCGGAAGCCUGAACCAGCCAAGUAGCGUGCAGGAUGACGGCCCUAUGGGUUGUAAACUGCUUUUAUACAGGAAUAAAGUUAGCCACGUGUGGUUAUUUGUAGGUACUGUAUGAAUAAGGACCGGCUAAUUCCGUGCCAGCCGCCGCAGUAA